GACGAACGCUGACGGCGUGCUUAACACAUGCAAGUCGAAGGGAGUGGCGAACGGGUGAGUAACACGUGAGUAACCUGCCCUUUUCUUUGGGAUAAGCCUGGGAAACUGGGUCUAAUACUGGAUGGAUUGGGAUGGGCUCGCGGCGUAUCAGCUUGUUGGUGGGGUGAUGGCUUACCCAGGCUUUGACGGGUAGCCGGCCUGAGAGGGUGGUCGGUCACACUGGGACUGAGACACGGCCCAGACUCCUACGGGAGGCAGCAGUGGGGAAUAUUGCACAAUGGGCGCAAGCCUGAUGCAGCCAUGCCGCGUGAGUGAUGAAGGUCUUCGGGUCGUAAAGCUCUGUUAUUAGGGAAGCGGUACCUAAUCAGAAAGCCACGGCUAACUACGUGCCAGCCGCCGCGGUAAUAC
rnacentral:rRNA from 1 species